CGGAUCGUGGCGCAGUUGGUAGCGCGCAGGGCUGGGGGUCCUGAGGCCGCGGGUUCGAGCCCCGCCGGUCCGACCA
rnacentral:tRNA from 1 species